rnacentral:rRNA from 1 species
AUUGAACGCUGGCGGCAGGCCUAACACAUGCAAGUCGAACGAGUGGCGGACGGGUGAGUAAUGUCUGGGAAACUGCACGAUGGAGGGGGAUAACUGCUGGAAACGGUAGCUAAUACCGCGUACCAUCGGCUGUGCCCAUGUCGGAUUAGCUCGGUGGUGGGGUAAAGGCCUACCAAGGCGACGAUCCGUAACUGGUCUGAGAGGAGGAUCAGUAACACGUGAAUUGAUAAAUGGUCCAGACUCCGACGGGAGGUAGAAGUGGGGAAUAUUGGACAGUGGGCGAAAGCCUGAUCCAGCCAUGCCGCGUGGGUUGAGAAGGUCUUCGGAUUGUAAAUCACUUUAGGUUGGGAGUCGUUACCAACAGAAGAAGCACCGGCUAACUUCGGGCCAGCAGCCGAGGUAAUAC